CCUACGGGUGGCAGCAGUCGAGAAUCAUUCACAAUGGGGGAAACCCUGAUGGUGCGACGCCGCGUGGGGGAAUGAAGGUCUUCGGAUUGUAAACCCCUGUCAUGUGGGAGCAAAUUAAAUUGAUAGUACCACACUAGGCAGAGCCGGCUAACUCUGUGCCAGCAGCCGUGUUAAUACAGAGGUCUCAAGCGUUGUUCGGACUCACUGGGCGUAACGCGUGCGUAGGCUGUUUCGUAAGUCGUGUGUGAAAGGCGCAGGCUCAACCCGCGAACGGAACAUGAUACUGCGAGACUAGAGUAAUGGAGGGGGAACCGGAAUUCUCGGUGUAGCAGUGAAAUGCGUAGAUAUCGAGAGGAACACUCGUGGCGAAGGCGGGUUGCUGGACAGUAACUGACGCUGAGGCACGAAGGCCAGGGGAGCGAAAGGGAUUAGAUACCCGAGUAGUC
rnacentral:rRNA from 1 species